AAUUUUAUUAGUAUAAUUAAUUACGUUUAGUUUCCACCUAAAAAAUCUUUUAGAUAAAAU
rnacentral:tRNA from 1 species